CUAGAGAAGUGAAUGAACAGUGUGUAUAGUCGUGCUUUAUUCUGAGUGAUAUGUUUGGCCGGUCAUCCACCUUAGAGACGCGUGUCUUCCAGCUUUAUCAACAUCUCUUUGAAAGUCUCAGACGAGACUUAAAAAGAGAGAAAGGGAAGGAGAUGGGCGGUGACCGGAGUGUUACCACCAUCUCACCACCACUCGCCACUACUCUAAUCAAGGUUUCUAGGGCUUCAGUUCGAUUUGAUUUGUGAUUCAAGGUUUCUAGGACUUCAAUUUCUGAUUCAAGGUUCUAUUACCCAUUGUUGAUGGGUCAGAGGAGACGGAAGUUGUCAUGAUAACUGUUGUUCUUUGACGUGCAAAAGCCGAAGUGUCACCACUGGCGGAUUCAGGCCGUCUUGGCGGCAGCGAUUUUCAACGUAAAACCCUAGCUGACGUUUUAGGCGACAGCGGCCGGGGUUCUUGCGAGGUUUCAGCCUUUCACCUACCUGACGAUGAUGAUGGCUUGCUACCUGGUAUGGCAACUCCGGUUGCAACCAUAGCGCCACUGAGCAGGUUCAACGACGAUGAUGAUCUUAAUUGUUGUUCUUUGACAUGCAAAAGCCGAAGUGUCACCACUGGCGGAUUCAGGCCGUCUUGGCGGCAGCGAUUUUCAACGUAAAACCCUAGCCGACGUUUUAGGCGACAGCGGCCGGGGUUCUUGUGAGGUUUCAGCCUUUCACCUACCUGACGAUGAUGAUGGCUUGCUACCUGGUAUGGCAACUCCGGUUGCAACCAUAGCGCCACUGAGCAGGUUCAACGACGAUGAUGAUCUUUUCGGAUCCGAGUCGAUUUGUGUUGGCAAUUUCGUUUUUAUUUGUUUUGCUCUAUAAGAUUGAUUAUACGAUUGUGUUAGUCGUGUUGGUCAUGUUGUUUCUCGCUGUUGUUUCGGCUGUGAUAUUGGUGGUUGUGCUGUUGAUAGCAGUAAUGAAAAUGGUGUGUGAUGUUUUCAUUUUGCAUAUACCUACCCAGUUUAGCGUCCCGUAACGCUCGCGGGUUCUCUGUUGCGCUGAACGGUCGAUGGAGGGCCUUCGGGGUGUGCGAUUGUAAAUGUUAAAUUGUUGGCUUUGGUUGUGGAAAAUGCUCUGAUAAUGACGAUUUGGAGCGCCUUUCAGGUUUGCGAUGCUUAACGCUAAAUCUGAAGUAUGGUUCAACGAUGGUGUUGACAAACGGCCUUUAGGGUUUUUGAUGAUAAGCCCUAAAUCAUUCGUUUUGGGGCAUACCUAUAUUGUCUUCUUUAAUAUAUGUCUAUUAAUAGUUCAAACAAAUAAACAGUGUUUGUAUUUUGUGGUUAGAGGCUGUGAUGAGCUAUCAAAAUAAAAUCGAUACAUCACCAUGGUGUCGCAGCUAUGGAGGAUGGCAGGUUAGCACCUGCAACCCCUAUUGCAGCCAUGGUGGCUUGGUCCUUUUGCAUUCUCUGAGCCUUCAUGAAUCUGUUUACUUCAUUGUUGGCUUUGAGCUUACAAUUUGGGUUAGCGAUGGUGGUUUAGACUUUGGUCCUUUUGGUCACUGAAAUAGAGUCUGGAUGACUGGGAAUGUUGAAAAGAAAAAAAAAUGUGUAUGGAAAAGUUACUCGGUCCAUUAGUCAGAUUUGAGCAGCUCCUCAAUCAGAUCUGGUUGAAUAUGAAUGGAUCUGAACACGUCGAGGUUUUGUGAUGCGCCGUCUCAGACGCUCGGAAAACUCGACCAUUCAGUGAUUGACCAUAUGACUUUUAAUUAUUUGCUACAGGUUAUGGUAAAAUCGUUUGAGGUUACAGAGUUACCAGAGCGUCUUCAUAGUCAGAUCCUAGCACGAAAGCAGUGGGUUGUUGCUGGGGUGGAUGAUAUGUUUAUCCGGGUAUACAAUUACAAUGUAAUGGACAAGGUCAAAAGUAUACGAGGCACGCACUGAUCGCACUAUAAAGGUUCCUAUUAUCAAAAUUGCACGUUCUUGGUUCAAGCCAAUCACCGAGAUCAUGCAGUAUUAUAUCGAGCGUAAGCGGUUUGGUGUUGGGUGUGUGUUUGGAUUAAAGCUCUGGUGCCAUCCAGUUUUGAUUCGGCAAAAAUGAUGCUCGAGCAUGCUCUUCAAGUGAAUAAACCAGCAAGGAGAAACGUAUCAUUUAUGAAGUCUUCUCAGUGACAAUUUGGAAGUUGUGGCCACUGCGUAAUGAAAAGGUAUUUAAAGGAUAGUCACAGCAGAUUAAAAAGGUUCUAGAGGAAAUAAAGGUAGAGACACGAGUGGAUGGAGAGACGAAACAAAAGCGCGGGUCUGUCUUUGGAAGGCUGGACCAGUAGUUUUAGUCGUUUUCUUUGUUGUAUGUACUAUGCUUGUGUGUCUGCUCCUUUUGGUUCUUUAUGUUGGGGUGUAUCCUCAGUCUUAGCUGUUGGCUAAGAUAAGAGUUUGUAUUUUUUUCCAUAUAAUGAAAUUCUCCUUUGCCUGGGCAAAAAAAUAGAAAAAA